UCAGAAACAGAAAAAUGCUGAAAGCAUAGGCUGGUUUCUGUUUAGUUUAUCCCAAAAUAUCCCUGCAAGUUUUCAACUUCCUUAAGUCCCUCACCACCAAAUUCUGCCCUCUCACCAAGCAAAAACAUAUGCUUCUCCCUCGGCUUCCUGCUUGUAUGUGAUCACUUCCUCUCUCAGUGUUGUUUUGAGGUGGUGGAGAGGAGCUACAGCUGGAGGGCAAGCUCAAUUGCUCCCCUUCAUUGCCACCUGCCAUGGUUUUCCUCCUCUGUGUAGCUUGCAAUAUUCACUGUGGAGUUCAGGAACCCAGCAAAGCAUAGAAGAUGCUAGAAGGUGAGCACACAAAUAAACAGCCUGCAAGGAAACAAAGGUGGAAGAAACUGGGCAGUGAUUUUUGAAGAAGUCCUUCUCCCUGAGGUACAGCAGCAGUUGGAAAACUGUGUGCGGCUUCAUUAGCUAAUCAGAGAAGACUGGCUGGGAAAAGAGCUGCAUGAGGAAGUGGUGUCACAUCUACUGGAUCCUAACUGAGGCACUACACACACACACCCAUGCAACACAGACUGACAAGCACAAAUAUGUUCUGUCAAAUGUUACAUUAUCUCCAGGAUUUGGCAGCAGCCCCUGCAGAUGUUGAGUCAGGAGUGGGUGCAGCUUGUUAUGCCCUUGGGCCUUUACCUUUUCUCUACCGUCGACUUCCACCCCCACAUGUUCAUCUCUCCUUAUUUAAAAAGGGAAUGGACCCACUCAGGUUGAAAAGCAGCUUGAUGAAGAAGACAGAAACAGUUAAGGAGCCUCUCUCCCAUGCCUGCUAUACUUUCACUGAAAUCUCAGAAGAUGCUUUUGAAUAAAUACAGAAAUGAUAAAAUGUGGCUUACAAUAUAACAUUUCACUUGUCCCUAACCCCAAUUAUUGUAAGUGUUUGGUGAAAAAAAGCUUAACAUUUGUUCAGCAACCACCAAGGCUCUCUCUGUCUCUCUAUGC